UACGUAGGGGGCUAGCGUUGUCCGGAAUUACUGGGCGUAAAGCGCACGUAGGCGGAUUGUUAAGUCGGGGGUGAAAUCCUGGAGCUCAACUCCAGAACUGCCUUCGAUACUGGCGAUCUCGAGUUCGGGAGAGGUGAGUGGAACUGCGAGUGUAGAGGUGAAAUUCGUAGAUAUUCGCAAGAACACCAGUGGCGAAGGCGGCUCACUGGCCCGAUACUGACGCUGAGGUGCGAAAGCGUGGGGAGCAAACAGG
rnacentral:rRNA from 1 species